rnacentral:tRNA from 1 species
GUUGAAGUGGCCGAGUCACACGCAACGGUCUGUAAAACCGUCAACGGAUUAAAUUCCCUUCAAUA